rnacentral:rRNA from 1 species
UACCAGCACCCCGAGUGGUCGGGACGAUUAUUGGGCCUAAAGCAUCCGUAGCCGGUUUACAAGUCCUCCGUUAAAUCCAGCUGCUUAACAGAUGGGCUGCGGAGGAUACUAUAAGACUAGGAGGCAGGAGAGGCAAGCGGUACUCAGUGGGUAGGGGUAAAAUCCGUUGAUCCAUUGAAGACCACCAGUGGCGAAGGCGGCUUGCCAGAAUGCGCUCGACGGUGAGGGAUGAAAGCUGGGGGGAGCAAACCGG